rnacentral:tRNA from 1 species
GUGAUGUGGCUCAGUGGUAAAGUGCAUGCCUUGGCAUGCAUGAGGCCCUAGGUUCAAAUCCCCAAGCACAUA